UACGUAGGGUGCAAGCGUUUGUCCGGAAUUAUUGGGCGUAAAGGGCUCGUAGGCGGUCCAUCGCGUCGGGAGUGAAAAGCUGGGGCUCAACCCCAGUCCUGCUUUCGAUACGGGUGGACUAGAGUGCAGAAGGGGCAACUGGAAUUCUCGGUGUAGCGGUGAAAUGCGUAGAUAUCGAGAGGAACACCUGCGGCGAAGGCGGGUUGCUGGGCUGACACUGACGCUGAUGCGCGAAAGCCAGGGGAGCGAACGGG
rnacentral:rRNA from 1 species